UAGGGAAUCUUCGGCAAUGGACGAAAGUCUGACCGAGCAACGCCGCGUGAGUGAAGAAGGUUUUCGGAUCGUAAAACUCUGUUGUUAGAGAAGAACAAGGACGUUAGUAACUGAACGUCCCCUGACGGUAUCUAACCAGAAAGCCACGGCUAACUACGUGCCAGCAGCCGCGGUAAUACGUAGGUGGCAAGCGUUGUCCGGAUUUAUUGGGCGUAAAGCGAGCGCAGGAGGUUUCUUAAGUCUGAUGUGAAAGCCCCCGGCUCAACCGGGGAGGGUCAUUGGAAACUGGGAGACUUGAGUGCAGAAGAGGGUAGUGGAAUUCCAUGUGUAGCGGUGAAAUGCGUAGAUAUAUAGAGGAACACCAGUGGCGAAGGCGGCUCUCUGGUCUGUAACUGACGCUGAGGCUCGAAAGCGUGGGGAGCAAACAGG
rnacentral:rRNA from 1 species